CUUAAAACAAUCUGUGUAUCUCACAGUGUUAAUCAGAGAUGCAGUCAUGUUUGUUGUGAUUAUUCUGUUUUUCACAGAGGAUGGCCAGGAUUCCUUGCUGCUGGAUGGAAGCGGUCUAGUUGCAGUACAUUAAGCCCCCUUGCAGGACCAUGUUGGAAAAUGCUGAGAAAGACCAACAGCUUCUAAAGCUGAGAAGAUGGCCAGGGACUCUUUGCUGCUGGAUGGAAGCUGUCUAGAGCUGCUAGAGUGUCACUCUGGUUGCCACCUUCUCCCAUAAGGACACGUUGACUGAGGGAGAUAUUGAGCCCUGCCCUGACUCUCCACACAACCAAGGAGAGUGCCA